rnacentral:rRNA from 1 species
AUUGAACGCUGGCGGCAUGCCUUACACAUGCAAGUCGAACGGUAACGGGCCUUCGGGUGCCGACGAGUGGCGAACGGGUGAGUAAUACAUCGGAACGUGCCCGAUCGUGGGGGAUAACGAGGCGAAAGCUUUGCUAAUACCGCAUACGAUCUACGGAUGAAAGCAGGGGACCGCAAGGCCUUGCACGGACGGAGCGGCCGAUGGCAGAUUAGGUAGUUGGUGGGAUAAAAGCUUACCAAGCCGACGAUCUGUAGCUGGUCUGAGAGGAUGAUCAGCCACACUGGGACUGAGACACGGCCCAGACUCCUACGGGAGGCAGCAGUGGGGAAUUUUGGACAAUGGGCGCAAGCCUGAUCCAGCCAUGCCGCGUGCAGGAUGAAGGCCUUCGGGUUGUAAACUGCUUUUGUACGGAACGAAAAGCCUUCUUUUAAUACAGGAGGGUCAUGACGGUACCGUAAGAAUAAGCACCGGCUAACUACGUG